GCCUACAUCGUCUAAUGGCUAGGACAGAACGUUGUGGCCGUUCAAAUCCAGGUUCGAUUCCUGGUGUAGGCA